GACGAACGCUGGCGGCGUGCCUAACACAUGCAAGUCGAACGGAAAGGCCCUGCUUUUGCGGGGUGCUCGUUUGGCGAACGGGUGAGUAACACGCGAGUAUCCCGUCCCUGUCUUUGGGAUAACUUUAGGAAACUGGGGCUAAUACCGGAUAGGAGCUCCUGCUGCACGGUGGGGGUUGGAAAGUUUCGGCGGUUGGGGAUGGACUCGCGGCUUAUCAGCUUGUUGGUGAGGUAGUGGCUUACCAAGGCUUUGACGGGUAGCCGGCCUGAGAGGGUGACCGGCCACAAUGGGACUGAGGUACGGACCAGACUGGUACGGGAGGCAGCAGUGGGGAAUAUUACACAGUGGGCGGGCGCCUGAUGCGGCAGCGCCGCGUGCGGAAUGACGGCCUUCGGGUUGUAAACCGCUUUCGCCGGUGACGAGGCGUGAGUGACGGUAAUGGGUAAAGAAGCACCGGCUAACUACGUG
rnacentral:rRNA from 1 species